UUAACUCAAAUUUGUAUGGAGUUGGAACGUUUGCCUACGUUUGCCGCUAGGGGCGUUGUUCCAACUGCAUACAAAUAUGAGUUA
rnacentral:pre_miRNA from 1 species